rnacentral:rRNA from 1 species
GUAGUCCACGCCGUAAACGGUGGGUACUAGGUGUGGGUUUCCUUCCUUGGGAUCCGUGCCGUAGCUAACGCAUUAAGUACCCCGCCUGGGGAGUACGGCCGCAAGGCUAAAACUCAAAGAAAUUGACGGGGGCCCGCACAAGCGGCGGAGCAUGUGGAUUAAUUCGAUGCAACGCGAAGAACCUUACCUGGGCUUGACAUGCACUAGAAACACCUAGAGAUAGGUGCCCCCUUGUGGUUGGUGUGCAGGUGGUGCAUGGCUGUCGUCAGCUCGUGUCGUGAGAUGUUGGGUUAAGUCCCGCAACGAGCGCAACCCUUGUCUCAUGUUGCCAGCACGUUAUGGUGGGGACUCGUGAGAGACUGCCGGGGUCAACUCGGAGGAGGGUGGGGAUGACGUCAAGUCAUCAUGCCCCUUAUGUCCAGGGCUUCACACAUGCUACAAUGGCCGGUACAAAGGGCUGCGAUGCCGUGAGGUGGAGCGAAUCCUUUCAAAGCCGGUCUCAGUUCGGAUCGGGGUCUGCAACUCGACCCCGUGAAGUCGGAGUCGCUAGUAAUCGCAGAUCAGCAACGCUGCGGUGAAUA